AACGCGAAGAACCUUACCUGGACUAGAAUGUGAGGGAAGGGCGUCUAACAGCGUCCGUCCGAGCAAUCGGACCCAAAACAAGGUGCUGCAUGGCUGUCGUCAGCUCGUGUCGUGAGAUGUUGGGUUAAGUCCCGCAACGAGCGCAACCCUUAUUGACAGUUGCCAAUAUUAAGUUAGGAACUCUGUCAAGACUGCCGUUGAUAAAACGGAGGAAGGUGGGGACGAUGUCAAGUCAUCAUGGCCUUUAUGUUCAGGGCUACACACGUGCUACAAUGGAUGGUACAAAACGUCGCAAUCCCGCAAGGGGGAGCUAAUCGCAAAAACCAUUCUCAGUUCGGAUCGGAGUCUGCAACUCGACUCCGUGAAGUUGGAAUCGCUAGUAAUCGCAAAUCAGCAUGUUGCGGUGAAUACGUUCCCGGGUCUUGUACACACCG
rnacentral:rRNA from 1 species